CCCCCAUGAUGUUCAAGGAUCAGUUGUAUGUUUAUGUUAAAGGUUUAAUUUUACUCACUAAUCAAUGAAGAAACUAGGCAGGCAUUAUAACCCUUAAGAACAGAUGCAUUUAUAGAUUAGAAAUACUGAAAUUAAUAUGUGAUUGGAAGCAAACUGGUUUUUCCACAGGGGCUAGGGAAAUCAACUGGACGUUUUACAGCAUAACAUUUGCAUGCUCAUGAGAGCAUUUUGCAUUACUAUCAACUACUUACAACUGAAAAGGUUGUAAAAAAGCUCAGAGAGAGGAAGAGAUUAGAAUCGGAGAACCGAGGCUGUCCUUUGGUCUCUGCGGGGUUUCCAGGAAGCAGGAUCCUCUUUCUACAACCUUUACAGCUUCUCUUCCGCUGAAUAGCCCACAGAUUCCUUGUACCGGCCACAGGGCGACAGCCUUAAUGCCAGGUUCCCGGGUUAACAGGAGCUCCCACAUUGUUCUUUUCCUGUUUUUCUCAGGUUCUCAGGGCCACUGGCUCCUGCACUCUUGGAGGCCUGCCAGAGUCCUAAUAUGGGAUGUGGAAAUCAGGCCUCUCCUGGAACGCUCGCGGUCUAUCCACAUUGCCACAAAUGGCAAGAUUGUCAAGUAACAUCUCCUAAUUUAAGAGUUGAAGCUAUCAUAAAUAUCAGGAAACAUACCAGGAAGAUGACAGUUUGCAACCUCUCAUGUAGAAGUCGCCCAGUUACAAACUCCCCUGCUCUUACUCUACUCCUUGCGACCGCCUUCAAAAGAGGGCACAGCAGCAGGGACUGCAGGUUCUCCAGAGGGGCUGACUGAUGGCGUAGGGUUCCCCAGCUGAAGCUGCUGUCUUCCCCAUGUACAAAAUCCGAAAUGGCAAUCGGAGUCUUAAGAGAGAUGAAGGUGAAGAACAGACCAGAAAAGAAAUAGUUAUUUUAUUGGUCAGCUGGCCAAGGAGCAGGACAAAUAUCAGUUAUAAAUAACAAAGGCCUUUAACUCACCAAGUUACCUUUUCUCUUAUGAUCAAGAUAAAACUCAAGAUUGACGAUGUCCAGGGACGGGAUAAGUUUCAGUUUCCAGAAAGCCCCCUUUGGCAUCACAUGAAUAACAGGUUCCCAGCUGGUUAUACUAUUUCUCUGGUUCUUACAAGUAUCAGCUGCAAUUAGGGAUUCUCAGAAAGCUCCAGAAAAGAUGACUCUGUACAAAGUAAAUUUCAUCAAGUGGAGGUCCUUUUCUUUUCUUUUUUCUUUUUUCUUUUUUUACAUUUUAUUUUUAAGUAAUCUCUGCACCCAACAAGGGGCUCAAACUUAACCACCCUGAGAGCAAGGAUGCUCCACCAUCCAAGCCAGCUGGGUGCCUUACGUGGGAGCUUCUGGUCUGGUCUUGUAUUCUUGUAUUCUCCAGGUCUGUCAAAACUUGAAGAGCUAACUGAUGUAACAGGAUAAUGACACUAGCUCAAAUGAUUUCUGUUUCCUCUUUACCUUGCUUUGCAAGGAGAAUUUUAUUUUUCUGUACUGUGUAAGCAAAGUUUGAGAAAUCUGGGAAGAUAGCCAAGAAAUGUAGUCCUCUGAAAAACAAACUGGGGGUAUAAGAAGAAUGACAUUAACUGACUUCUGUGGAAAUAACACAUUUAAAUGAUGAUGAGUAAGUAGGAAGCAUUGGACUAGUGCAACGUUUCUCAAAGUGAAUUGUAAAUAGAAACCUACAAGAGUUUCAUGACCAAAUAAUUUCUUCAAGUACUGGAUUGUGAUGUUGAAACACAUUCAUUUUUGUAGAGUUUCUCAGAACCUUUAAUGUAUUGAUGUACAUUGUGAACUUCGAGGAGAAGCUAUAGUAUGUAGUAUUUUCCAAGUGUGUUUUACUAUGGAGUCAUUUUUUAAAGAUUUUAUUCAUUUAUU